CCCUUAGAGUUUGAUCCUGGCUCAGAUUGAACGCUGGCGGCAGGCCUAACACAUGCAAGUCGAAUGGUAACAGGAAACAGCUUGCUGUUUCGCUGACGAGUGGCGGACGGGUGAGUAAUGUCUGGGAAACUGCCUGAUGGAGGGGGAUAACUACUGGAAACGGUAGCUAAUACCGCAUAACGUCGCAAGACCAAAGAGGGGGACCUUCGGGCCUCUUGCCAUCAGAUGUGCCCAGAUGGGAUUAGCUAGUAGGUGGGGUAACGGCUCACCUAGGCGACGAUCCCUAGCUGGUCUGAGAGGAUGACCAGCCACACUGGAACUGAGACACGGUCCAGACUCCUACGGGAGGCAGCAGUGGGGAAUAUUGCACAAUGGGCGCAAGCCUGAUGCGGCCAUGCCGCGUGUAUGAAGAAGGCCUUCGGGUUGUAAAGUACUUUCAGCGGGGAGGAAGGGAGUAAAGUUAAUACCUUUGCUCAUUGACGUUACCCGCAGAAGAAACACCGGCUAACUCCGUGCCAGCAGCCGCGGUAAUACGGAGGGUGCAAGCGUUAAUCGGAAUUACUGGGCGUAAAGCGCACGCAGGCGGGUUGUUAAGUCAGAUGUGAAAUCCCCGGGCUCAACCUGGGAACUGCAUCUGAUACUGGCA
rnacentral:rRNA from 1 species